UACGUAGGGCGCAAGCGUUGUCCGGAAUUAUUGGGCGUAAAGAGCUCGUAGGUGGUUUGUCGCGUCUGCCGUGAAAUCCCGAGGCUUAACCUCGGGCCUGCGGUGGAUACGGGGCAAACUAGAGGUAGGUAGGGGAGAACGGGAAUUCCCGGUGUAGCGGUGAAAUGCGCAGAUAUCGGGAGGAACACCGGUGGCGAAGGCGGUUCUCUGGGCCUUACCUGACGCUGAGGAGCGAAAGCAUGGGGAGCGAACAGG
rnacentral:rRNA from 1 species